rnacentral:tRNA from 1 species
GGGGCUAUAGCUCAGCUGGUAGAGCACUGUCUUCGCAUGACAGGGGUCGUGGGUUCGAAUCCCACUAGCUCCACCA